UCUUAUGUUUUAAAUUAACCCACUCAGAAUAAAACCCUACCAGACAAUACAUUCAAUGAAACAUUUAGUCAAAAAGUCAGGCGUUAACAUAGACACAUUAAGAUGACAUCUUCAACCACUAUAAGCUAGACGCCUUGGCACCUUCCUGCUCAGAAGGUAAGAACCAUUAACAUUUACCUCAUAGAUCAGAUAAAUGUGUUUGGACAUCUUUCAACCUAAAACAAAAGUACAACCCCAAACAGGACGCUGUUUGUCUUCCACCACCAAAAGCUAGAUGCCCUGGCACCUUCCUGCUCAGAAGGUGACACAGUUUGUCUUCCACCACCAAAAGAUAGAUGCCCUGGCACCUUCCUGCUCAGAAGUCAGGGUAACACAUUGCAAACCAAAUACACAACAACACAGUCAGCAGACGGAGGGCUAAGGAUGCAUGUCUGGGAAUAACUUCAUUCACAGAUAGGCAACUGGACUGCAUGGAUGUCACUUUAACUCAUGUGUGAAAAAACCAGAACGCUUGAAGGUCCACCCCAGAUUGCUCUUCAUAGCACAUGGUAAAUCCUGAUGACUGAAUUAUAUCCUGAUCGCCAAAAUGGCCACUGCCAUAAAACAUCAAGGAACAGGACGCCAGAGAGUCUCAAUUUGACACAUCCGUUCACAAGCAUCAAGAAAACAGGAACAGGUCGUCAGAGGUACUCUGUUUGACACCUGGGGGCCAUAAACAUCUAGGAAAACAGGAACAGGAACUAGACGACACACGUGUUUGUUCGAUAUCCGGAUCAUAAUUCAUAGGGGGCGGGAGGGCGGGGGGUCAUAAAUUAAUCACUUUU